rnacentral:misc_RNA from 1 species
UACGUAGGUGGCAAGCGUUGUCCGGAAUUAUUGGGCGUAAAGCGCGCGCAGGCGGUCCUUUAAGUCUGAUGUGAAAUCCCGCGGCUCAACCGCGGGCGGCCAUUGGAAACUGGGGGACUUGAGUGCAGAAGAGGAAAGUGGAAUUCCACGUGUAGCGGUGAAAUGCGUAGAGAUGUGGAGGAACACCAGUGGCGAAGGCGACUUUCUGGUCUGUAACUGACGCUGAGGCGCGAAAGCGUGGGGAGCAAACAGG